rnacentral:lncRNA from 1 species
CAUCUUUAAAUCUACAGCUCUGGUCAGGCUCCCGAAAACCCUAUCUUACACAAGAAAGACCUCAUCACGAUCCUCUCUAUCAACAUAGGAAAUCUAAGGGCACGAUUACAAGAACAUGUUAUACUCAUCGGUAGAUCAGGCAUGCAAAUCCGGUCACCACAACCACAUAAACAUCCUAAGAAAUCUAUCAUCGAUCAUAGAUUGAAAAUCAAGCAAACCCAAAAGAGC